UAACCUGCCCAAGAGACUGGGAUAACACCUGGAAACAGAUGCUAAUACCGGAUAACAACACUAGACGCAUGUCUAGAGUUUGAAAGAUGGUUCUGCUAUCACUCUUGGAUGGACCUGCGGUGCAUUAGCUAGUUGGUAAGGUAACGGCUUACCAAGGCAAUGAUGCAUAGCCGAGUUGAGAGACUGAUCGGCCACAUUGGGACUGAGACACGGCCCAAACUCCUACGGGAGGCAGCAGCU
rnacentral:rRNA from 1 species